rnacentral:tRNA from 1 species
GCGACUAUAGCUCAGUUGGUUAGAGCACCACCUUGACAUGGUGGGGGUCACUGGUUCGAGUCCAGCUAGUCGCACCAAAU